rnacentral:rRNA from 1 species
AUACGUAGGGGGCGAGCGUUGUCCGGAAUUACUGGGCGUAAAGGGCGUGUAGGCGGCCGAGCAAGUCAAGUGUGAAAAGCCUCGGCUUAACCGAGGCAUUGCACAUGAAACUGCAUGGCUUGAGUGCAGGAGAGGGAAGUGGAAUUCCUAGUGUAGCGGUGAAAUGCGUAGAUAUUAGGAGGAACACCAGUGGCGAAGGCGACUUCCUGGACUGUAACUGACGCUGAGGCGCGAAAGCGUGGGUAGCAAACAGGAUUAGAUACCCUGGUAGUCCACGCCGUAAACGAUGAAUGCUAGGUGUAGGGGUUGUCAUGACCUCUGUGCCGCCGCAAACGCAUUAAGUAUUCCGCCUGGGGAGUACGGUCGCAAGAUUAAA